ACUCAAGAACAAUCAAGAUCCAAGUUGCAUGCUUUCUAUAAAUGAAAAUAGAGAUGGAUAAAUCUUCACUUUAAUCACUUCAACAUUGGUGUGAAUCAUGUCUUCAAUAGCCCUCUCUAUUUAAUGGCCCCUAGUAACGAUCAUAUCUCACCUUCAUAUAAUUCCAUAACCAAAGGAACAACAUUAUCAUCUUCAUAAGUGUCUUAUAAGCCCCCAAUAUUUUGAUGUGGUGGCAUUACUGACAUGUUUCAUAAUCUCAACUUACUUCCUUACAUCUUCAAUAUGCGCCCUUGUUCUAAGCUUCUUUUUUGAAAUUGAUUUACAGGCAAUACUUUACAGGUAGAUUUAUCGGUACAUAUUGUUUGAGUUAUAGAUAUUGAAUGUCAAAAUCAUUAAAAUGAUAAAAAUCACAUAUUUUAAGGCCUACAACAUAAGUAUGCUCUAAAAAAAUAUAUCUUACUCGAUGCAUGUCCCCUAGUUAAUCAUUAACCCAAACUCUUUUCUCAAAGACUAUAAUAGUCAAGUUUUUAAAAAAAAAAGUAAUAAUAAUAAUGAACUUAUAGUUGUGGUCUUCCUCUAGCAUACAAUUCCAACAUGCAUUAAUAAUGCCACAUAAGAAAUGUGGAAAACUUUAAUCUCAUAUAAAUUAUUAUUAUUAAUAAAAUAAAAACAUACAUUAAAGGAAUAGUUGUUCUGUUGAGCAGCGUAUUAUUCCAUAAGAUAAGCUUGCUUUUAGUGACAUUCCCCAAAUUAAAAUCAUGCUCAACAACUAUAAUAAACGAUUCAAAAUAAAAUUAAAGCAGUAAUAAAAGUUCAGAUGAGUAUAAUCAGGUAUAAUUAGAGGGAAAAAAUACCAUUGAAGAGUGUUAGAAAUACACAAAUGUUGUGGCUAAAAAGAUAUAAAUUAUUGAAUUAGAGGGAAAAAAUUACCAUUGAAGAGUGUUAGAAAUACACAAAUGUUUUGGCUAAAAAGAUAUAAAUUAUUGAAAAUUCGGGAGAAUGUGUCGCCUUUAAAUUCACCAAGAAAGCCAAGAAACAUCAUGUAGAUCAUAACCCUUAACUAUAUUAGUAAACCAGUCAUACUUGUCUUGAAAUCUUCAACAUCCUCACUCAAGACUUAAAAAGAGACAUGAGAGAGAUGUUAAGAUGAUGUUACCUCAGAAGGGGUUGGCCAUGAAUGAUGUUGAUCAUAAUGAAGACAUUUGUAGGGAUCAUUAUAAAAAAAAUUGGAUGGUUGGCCAAAAAAAGAAAGAAAAUAGCAUAUUAUCAUAAAACUACAACAACAGGUCUUUUGUCUUAAGCUAAUCAAGAUAGGCUAAAAAUGAUAAUUGGUCUUUUUCUUAAGCUAAUUAAGAUAGGCUAAAAAUGAUAAUUUCUUUGGGAGAUGUUUAAGUCUUGUAUCAUCAGAUUAUUCCGCUGAUCUUUAUAUAAAAAUUGUUAUCAAAUUUAUUUUAAGAUGUCGUUUUCAUCAUAGAUCGCCUGGAUCAUGAACCACUCAACAUAACUAAUCUGUGAAUAAAAAACAACAAAAAAUCCACAAUAAGCUAUGAUAAAUCCACAAAAAUCAACAAAAUGAAAUCUUUACAAACCCAUGACUAAAUGAUCAUUUUACCCUCAAAUAACAAAAAAAAAAAAAAAAAAAAACCAAAAAAAAAAAAAAAAAAAAAAAAAAAACCAAAAAAAAACAAAUCUUUUCGGAAUAAAUCGUGAAAUAUAUGAAUAAAAAUAAAUGGUACCUGAACUUGAUCAAUGAUCAACGUAGAUCCUCUUUCCCCUAAUUUCACAUUACAAUUUUAAGUUUUGAUUUAUGAUUCUUCAUGUACCUGCACAUGAUACUUGUUAAAUGAAAUUAAAGCUUAUGUAGAGAAAGAUUAGAAAAAAAGGGUCAAAAAAAUGGUGCUUGAAUGUGGCGAAGUUCAUGAUGACGGUGGUGAGUGGUAAGUUCUUGGGCCAUUGGAUGUCAGAAUAAACGAUAUCGAUAUGAGAAAUAUUGGAAAUAAGCUGUUCAGGUGUUAGUUAGAUUGUAGAAAGAAAAAUAAAGUGAUCUAUGAAAAAGGAAAGUGCACUGUGAAAAGAAGAGAAGAAAUAGUGGUACUGGUAGCCGAUGCGUAAAUGUGCCCAGUUAUAUUUAGGGUUUAUCUGUACCACCGGUUCCCUGAUUAGAAGCACACUACUCCAAUAUUCUUUCUUUUUCAUAGAUUUUAACUUCUUGAACUUUAAUCUUCAUGGAUUCGAGAUGAAUAUGAAAUCCAUAUCUACAUCAUCUUCUAAGUACGGAAAGUAAAUUAUCAACCAAAACAGCUAAAAGUCUUGUUAAGCAAAAAUGAUGAACAAAUUGAUAUUUUCCUUUGGCUGGGGUUUUCACAUAUUUGGUUUACCUGGGUUAGCAGUAAAUGCAAGACCUCUUUGGCUCCUAACAAUGUAGUAGAAGAGGAGAAUGGGUGAAGGUCUGUGAGAUGUUAUAUAGUCGAUUCUUUCCCGAUCUGUUCACCUGAGAACAAAGAAACAAACUAAAAACAAUUCAUGUUGGGUCAGACUUAAAAUAAUCAAACAGAACUUGAAAACGAUUAAAAAAACAGAAGAAAAAACAUUAUAAAAGGUACUAACAACCGAAAAAAUCAAAUCCAAAAGUGCAAGUUGGUGAGGUAAGGCAAGGUCAUGGUUCUAGAGGGCAACGAUUCGGCGGUGGUGCUCUAGUUAUCUAAUGAUGGUGGUGGAGAAGGAAGAUAGGAGAGAAAUGAAGAAUAUGCAGCGAGUUCAUGGAGGGGGAUUCUUAAAAGUCAAGAUGCCUGUAGUAAAUCACAGUAAUAUCACUAUAGAGUGAUGUGCUCUUAUCCACAGGAGAUAAC
rnacentral:lncRNA from 1 species